GAGGCUAAAACCUGAUAGGGAAAUUCUAUUGGAAUAUGUUUUUCCUCAAACUCCGUCUUAGGAUGAGUCGGCGGCCGAUUAGGUAGUUGGUGAGGUAAAGGCUCACCAAGCCUAUGAUCGGUAGGGGCCUUGAGAGAGGUAUCCCCGAGAAGGGCACUGAGAUACUGGCCCUAGCCCCACGGGGUGCAGCAGGCGCGAAACCUUUACAAUGCACGAAAGUGUGAUAAGGGGAUCCCAAGUGCCUUGCUUUUAGCAAGGCUUUUGUCAUACCCAAAACGCAUGACGAAUAAGUGGUGGGCAAUACCUGUGCCAGCCGCCGCGGUAACCCAGGAGCCACAAGUGGGAGCCACUUUUAUUGGGCCUAAAGCGUUCGUAGCCGGUCUAGUAAAUUUCCUGUGAAAUCGUUGGGCUCAACCUAACGACGUGCAGGAAAGACUGUUGGACUAGGGACCGGGAGGCGUCAGAGGUAUUCCUGAGGGAGCGGUAAAACAUACUCACUAGCGUUCGUAGAUGUAAACGCUAGGAGCGUUUACAUUGUUAUAAUCUCAGGAGGACCCCCUGUGGCGAAGGCGUUUGACGAGAACGGAUCCGACGGUGAGGAACGAAAGCUAGGGGAGCAAAC
rnacentral:rRNA from 1 species